AGUACACAGUGGUGAGGAAAGACAAACCUGAAUCUGGCUUCUUAGUGCCUUUUCUCAAGGAAGAAGAGCGGCUACCACCUAAAGAUGCUGACUCUUCUGCUACUUCUCCUGGGGCUAGGCUCUGCGUUCGGUGCUCUCGUCUCUCAAAAGCCAAGCAGGGCCAUCUGUCAGCACGGGGUCUCCGUGAUGAUCCAGUGUGAGGCCGACAGCCAAGUCAUCUCCAUGUACUGGUACCGUCAGCGUCCAGGACAGAGCUUGAGCCUGAUUGCAACUGCAAAUCAGGGCUCCCAGGCCACUUAUGAAAGUGGAUUUGACAAGGAGAAGUUUCCCAUCAGCCGCCCAAGCCUGAACUUCUCAGUUCUGACUGUGAGCAGUGUGAGCCCCGAAGACAGCAGCUCUUACUUCUGCAGCGCUGACACAGUCAACCGGGUGCAGCAUUUUGGAGAAGGGACUCGACUCUCUGUCCUAGAGGACCUGAGCCAGGUCAAACCACCCAAGGUGGCUGUGUUCGAGCCAUCGGAAGCAGAGAUCUCCCGGACCCAGAAGGCCACGCUCGUGUGCCUGGCCACAGGCUUCUACCCCGACCACGUGGAGCUGAGCUGGUGGGUGAACGGGAAGGAGGUCCAGAGCGGGGUCAGCACGGACCCGCAGCCCUACAGGGAGGACCCCAACCUCAGUGACUCCACCUACUGUCUGAGCAGCCGGCUGAGGGUCUCCGCUACCUUCUGGCACAACCCCCGCAACCACUUCCGCUGCCAAGUCCACUUCCACGGGCUCACGGACAAGGACCGGGACCAGUGGAAGGAGGGCUGGCCCAUGCCCAUCUCCCAGAACGUCAGUGCCGAGGCCUGGGGCCGAGCAGACUGUGGCUUCACCUCAGUGUCCUAUCAGCAAGGGGUCCUGUCUGCCACCCUCCUCUAUGAGAUCCUUCUGGGGAAGGCCACCCUGUAUGCUGUGCUGGUCAGCGCCCUCGUGCUCAUGGCCAUGGUCAAGAGAAAGGAUUCCUGAGCCAGCUCAGAGGAGGAGCCAGGAGCCUCCAGCCUGUUAUUGCCCUGAUAUCAGUACUCCUGUUUCCGUUCCUACCCGGUGUUUCUGAAGAGCCCCUUCAUCUCUACCUGCUCAUCCCAGCAUGUACCCGCCACGUGUGUGCACACCUACACACUCAUGACCGGAAUGCCCUGGCCCACGGGGGGCCCUAGCCUGCCUGGACCGAGUGACCAAUAAACAUGGCCUGUUCUGGCUGACUCUG